CAAAAUCCUGUGAAGGAGAAAAGUAUAGCUGGACCCAGUUUUUCAGGGAGAAGGUGCCGUGACUGGGAGCGCCUUUAGAUAUGGACAGCUGAAGUUCACUCCGGAGGAGCAGGCUGAAAAUCCUUGAUGGCGAGUAGGCUAAGCCGCAUUUCCAGCGUUAGAGGGAAGGGGUAUCGGAACGUUAUUCCCAUACCGGAUGAAGUUUCCGUACUUUUUAAGAGUGGGCUGUGUUUUUAUAUACAGCCAAUCAGGGUGGUACCGCGAAGUUCGUAGUUUUCGUCCCUGGG
rnacentral:ncRNA from 1 species